rnacentral:rRNA from 13 species
UGGCUGUUCGCCAAUUAAAGCGGUACGUGAGCUGGGUUUAGAACGUCGUGAGACAGUUCGGUCCCUAUCUUCCGUGGGUGUAGGAUACUUGAGAGGAGUUGCCCCUAGUACGAGAGGACCGGGGUGAACGAACCACUGGUGGACCUGUUGUGGCGCCAGCCGCAGUGCAGGGUAGCUAUGUUCGGACAGGAUAACCGCUGAAGGCAUCUAAGCGGGAAGCCCCCCUCAAAACAAGGUAUCCCUGAGGGCCGUGGUAGACCACCACGUCGAUAGGCCGGAGAUGUAAGCGCAGCAAUGCGUUCAGUUGACCGGUACUAAUGGCCCGAUAGGCUUGAU